rnacentral:rRNA from 1 species
GACGAACCGUACGAACGUUAUUCGGAAUUACUGGGCUUAAAGGGUGCGUAGGCUGCGCGGAAAGUUGGGUGUGAAAUCCCUCGGCUCAACCGAGGAACUGCGCCCAAAACUGCCGUGCUCGAGGAAGAUAGAGGUAAGCGGAACUUACGGUGGAGCGGUGAAAUGCGUUGAUAUCGUAAGGAACACCUGUGGCGAAAGCGGCUUACUGGGUCUUUUCUGACGCUGAUGCACGAAAGCUAGGGGAGCAAACGGG